AGAGUUUGAUCCUGGCUCAGGGUGAACGCUGGCGGCGCGCUUAAUGCAUGCAAGUCGAGCGAGAAGCCGGCUUCGGCCGGUAGAGAGCGGCAGACGGCUGAGUAACGCGUGAGUAACUUGCCCUCCGGUGGGGUAUACACUCGGGAAACUGAGGAUAAUCCCGCAUACGACCCGGUCCCCUUGGGGAUCAGGUGAAAGGCUUCGGUCGCCGGAGGAGAGGCUCGCGUCCUAUCAGGUAGUUGGUGGGGUAAAAGCCUACCAAGCCGAUGACGGGUAGCUGGUCUGAGAGGAUGACCAGCCAGAGGGGGACUGAGACACGGCCCCCACUCCUACGGGAGGCAGCAGCAGGGAAUCUUGGGCAAUGGGCGGAAGCCUGACGCAGCGACGCCGCGUGGAGGAAGACGCCGUUCGCGGUGUAAACUCCUUUUCUUGGGGAAGAAGAUGACGGUACCCGAGGAAUAAGCCCCGGCUAACUCCGUGCCAGCAGCCGCGGUAAUACGGAGGGGGCGAGCGUUAUCCGGAUUUACUGGGCGUAAAGGGCGCGUAGGCGGCUGUGCUAGCCGCUUGUGGAAGCUCCUGGCUCAACCAGGAGAGGCCAAGCGGGACGGUGCGGCUAGAGGCAGGGAGAGGGUCGCGGAACUGGCGGUGGAGUGGUGAAAUACGUAGAUAUCGCCAGGAACACCGGUGGCGAAGGCGGCGACCUGGCUCUGUACUGACGCUGAGGCGCGACAGCGAGGGGAGCGAACGGGAUUAGAUACCCCGGUAGUCCUCGCCGUAAACGCUGGGUGCUGGGUGUUGGGGUCGGAUUUUUCUCCGGCUGCAGUGCCCAAGGUAACCCGCUAAGCACCCCGCCUGGGGAGUACGGCCGCAAGGCUGAAACUCAAAGGAAUUGACGGGGGCCCGCACAAGCAGCGGAGCGUGUGGUUCAAUUCGAGGCUACGCGAAGAACCUUACCAGGAUUUGACAUGUGCGUGGUACCGAACCGAAAGGGAAGGGACUGCGGGGGGAACCCCGUAGAGCGCACACCGGUGCUGCAUGGCUGUCGUCAGCUCGUG
rnacentral:rRNA from 1 species